rnacentral:rRNA from 1 species
UCUCUGUCCUAAUAGAAAGCCAUUCCUGCCCAAUGCUUUUAAAUAGCCGCAGUUUACUGUGCUAAGGUAGCGCAAUAACUUGCCUUCUAAUUUAAGGAUCGUAUGAAAGGACACAUGACUUUCUCAUUUUCUCAUAUACUUUCAAUAAAUUAAGCCUACCAGUAAAAAGACUUGUAUAAACAAGAAAGACGACAAGACCCUAUAGAACUUCACUACUGUUAGACUGGGGUGGUUAAAAACUAAAUCUUAAUUAUUUCUUCUUUACAUCGACCUGAAACUUUCAACAAAAGGAAAAGUUACCUUAGGGAUAACAGAGUAAUUAUUCUUUAGAUUUAAUUCCAAAGAAUAGUUUUCUACCUCGAUGUUGAAUUAAUAUUACUUCAUAAAUAAGCAUUAUAAAAGUAGGUCUGUUCGACCUCUAAGAUAUUACAUGAUUUGAGUUCAGACCGGCGUAAGCCAGGUCAGAUUCUAUCUUCUUACAUUUUCGUUACAGUACGAAAGGACCCAACGAUAGAUC